rnacentral:rRNA from 1 species
UACGAAGGGGACUAGCGUUGUUCGGAAUUACUGGGCGUAAAGCGCACGUAGGCGGAUUUGUAAGUCAGGGGUGAAAUCCCGGGGCUCAACCUCGGAACUGCCUUUGAUACUGCAAAUCUCGAGUCCGAUAGAGGUGGGUGGAAUUCCUAGUGUAGAGGUGAAAUUCGUAGAUAUUAGGAAGAACACCGGUGGCGAAGGCGGCCCACUGGAUCGGUACUGACGCUGAGGUGCGAAAGCCAGGGGAGCAAACGGG